CUUCACCCUUCACCCUUCAGGCGUAUGCUGGUGAGAUGAAGGAACACACCCAAUCUGUUCCCUGCUAACCUACUUUACAGCAAACAUACCGUCAACAUAUGGCCACAGUGCACCAGCUUCUUUCCCAUCAACCUCAACCCUGUCAUCUUCAUCACAAGGAGAAGACUUUCAACAUUUUAAGGACCUCAAAAUUGUCAACAUGUGUUUACACCAAAACACAAGUCAGUGACAUCUAGGGUGGGUGAAUUCGAUGGCAGGCAGAACCACCAGGCCAUAAACCAGCAUCCAGUAGUGAAGUUUAAUGGUGAGGUGAACAACAGUUGAGACAGUCUUCAGAGUCCAACAGUAUGCAUAACAAGACACUGUACCCUGGACCUUUGUUCUGAAGUAAAUGCACAGAUGUACCCUGUAGUUAUUUUAAGUACCCCAAAAUUAUAAAGGAACAAUGUGGUUUGCCUAUUUGUUGGUAAUAUGUUGGUACUAAGGUCAUUUUGAAAUAAAAUCAU